rnacentral:rRNA from 1 species
CCUACGGGAGGCAGCAGUAGGGAAUCUUCCGCAAUGGACGAAAGUCUGACGGAGCAACGCCGCGUGAACGAUGAAGGCCUUCGGGUCGUAAAGUUCUGUUGUUAGGGAAGAACAAGUGCUAGUUAAAUAAGCUGGCACCUUGACGGUACCUAACCAGAAAGCCACGGCUAACUACGUGCCAGCAGCCGCGGUAAUACGUAGGUGGCAAGCGUUGUCCGGAAUUAUUGGGCGUAAAGCGCGCGCAGGCGGUUUCUUAAGUCUGAUGUGAAAGCCCCCGGCUCAACCGGGGAGGGUCAUUGGAAACUGGGAAACUUGAGUGCAGAAGAGGAAAGUGGAAUUCCAAGUGUAGCGGUGAAAUGCGUAGAGAUUUGGAGGAACACCAGUGGCGAAGGCGACUUUCUGGUCUGUAACUGACGCUGAGGCGCGAAAGCGUGGGGAGCAAACAGGAUUAGAUACCCUGGUAGUCCACGCUGUAAACGAUGAGUGCUAAGUGUUAGAGGGUUUCCGCCCUUUAGUGCUGAAGUUAACGCAUUAAGCACUCCGCCUGGGGAGUACGGUCGCAAGACUGAAACUCAAAUGAAUUGACGG